GAUGAAGAACGUAGCGAAAUGCGAUAAGUAGUGUGAAUUGCAGAAUUCAGUGAAUCAUCGAAUCUUUGAACGCACAUUGCGCCCCUUGGUAUUCCAUGGGGCAUGCCUGUUCGAGCGUCAUUUGUACCUUCAAGCUUUGCUUGGUGUUGGGUGUUUGUCUCGCCUUUGCGUGUAGACUCGCCUUAAAAUAAUUGGCAGCCGGCGUAUUGAUUUCGGAGCGCAGUACAUCUCGCGCUUUGCACUCAUAACGACAGCGUCCAAAAGUACAUUUUACACUCUUGACCUCGGAUCAGGUAGGGAUACCCGCUGAACUUAAGGAUAUCAAUAAGCGGAGGA
rnacentral:misc_RNA from 1 species